rnacentral:lncRNA from 1 species
GUUCGGGUAUAUAUACAGACUUACAUUUCGUCGUAAAAUCCUCGUAACUUUACGACGAAUUAGAAUGACCCGCGUUUUAUUUUACUACGAAUUAGCAAGGCCCGUGUUUUUGUUUACGAUGAUUUUACGACGAAAAGUUUUUCUUUUUUAAUUUUCGUCGUAAAGCCCACGUAAAUUUACGAGGAAUUAGCAAGGCCCAUGUUUUUUUACGACGAAUUACAAAGACCCGUGUUUUAAUUUACGACGAUUUUACGACGAAAAGUGUUUCAAUUUACAAAAAAAAACCUGAAGGAAGGCACCGGCAUCAUAACAGUCUUAUCAAUCCCAAAUAGCAUUUGAAACUGAUCAGAACUGUCCUAGUGACAAUGCACGCCCUUCAGGUUUUUUCAAACUAUUGUUUAGUUUUUUUGUGUGCAAGUUUUGAAUGGGAGGGAUGUGCUUAUUUAUAGAAGUAGUUGUACUCGUAAAGUCCUCGUAAAUUAACGAAGAAAUAACAAGGCCCGUGUUUUUGUUGCGAGGAAAUAACAAGUCUCGUGUUUUCAAUUUCGUCGUAAAAUCGUCGAAAUAUUACGAGGAAAUAGCAAGGCCCGUGUUUUUUUACGACAAAUUAGCAAGGCCCGUGUUUUUAAUUUACGACGAUUUUACGACGAAAAGUGUUUCAAUUUACAACAAAAAACUGGAGGAAGACACGAGCACUAGAACAGUACUUAUCAAUUCCAAAUAGCAUUUGAAACUGAUCAAAAAUGUUCUAGUGACUGUGCACUGCUUUCAGGCUUUUUAAAACUAUGGAUUAGUUUUUUUUGGGUCGAAGUUUAGAAUGUGAGGGGUGUGCUUAUUUAUAGAAGUAGUUGUAGUCGUAAAAUCCACGUUAUUUAACGAGGAGAUAACAAAGCCCGUGUUUUCAUUUUCGUCGUAAAAUAACGAGGAAAUAACAAGGCCCGUGCUUUUAUUUACGAGGAAAUAACAAGGCCCGUGUUUUUUUACGAGGAUUUUACGAGGAAGGUAUGCAAAUCCCUAUCACCCGAAACCACAAACUCCAAAUCGUAAAUUAACGAAGAAAUAACAAGGCCCGUGUUUUUGUUGCGAGGAAAUAACAAGUCUCGUGUUUUCAAUUUCGUCGUAAAAUCGUCGAAAUAUUACGAGGAAAUAGCAAGGCCCGUGUUUUUUUACGACAAAUUAGCAAGGCCCGUGUUUUUAAUUUACGACGAUUUUACGACGAAAAGUGUUUCAAUUUACAACAAAAAACUGGAGGAAGACACGAGCACUAGAACAGUACUUAUCAAUUCCAAAUAGCAUUUGAAACUGAUCAAAAAUGUUCUAGUGACUGUGCACUGCUUUCAGGCUUUUUAAAACUAUGGAUUAGUUUUUUUUGGGUCGAAGUUUAGAAUGUGAGGGGUGUGCUUAUUUAUAGAAGUAGUUGUAGUCGUAAAAUCCACGUUAUUUAACGAGGAGAUAACAAAGCCCGUGUUUUCAUUUUCGUCGUAAAAUAACGAGGAAAUAACAAGGCCCGUGCUUUUAUUUACGAGGAAAUAACAAGGCCCGUGUUUUUUUACGAGGAUUUUACGAGGAAGGUAUGCA